UGCAGUCGAGCGAAUGGAUUGAGAGCUUGCUCUUAUGAAGUUAGCGGCGGACGGGUGAGUAACACGUGGGUAACCUGCCCAUAAGACUGGGAUAACUCCGGGAAACCGGGGCUAAUACCGGAUAAUAUUUUGAACUGCAUGGUUCGAAAUUGAAAGGCGGCUUCGGCUGUCACUUAUGGAUGGACCCGCGUCGCAUUAGCUAGUUGGUGAGGUAACGGCUCACCAAGGCAACGAUGCGUAGCCGACCUGAGAGGGUGAUCGGCCACACUGGGACUGAGACAGGGCCCAGACUCAUACGGGAGGCAGCAGUAGGGAAUCUUCCGCAAUGGACGAAAGUCUGACGGAGCAACGCCGCGUGAGUGAUGAAGGCUUUCGGGUCGUAAAACUCUGUUGUUAGGGAAGAACAAGUGCUAGUUGAAUAAGCUGGCACCUUGACGGUACCUAACCAGAAAGCCACGGCUAACUACGUGCCAGCAGCCGCGGUAAUACGUAGGUGGCAAGCGUUAUCCGGAAUUAUUGGGCGUAAAGCGCGCGCAGGUGGUUUCUUAAGUCUGAUGUGAAAGCCCACGGCUCAACCGUGGAGGGUCAUUGGAAACUGGGAGACUUGAGUGCAGAAGAGGAAAGUGGAAUUCCAUGUGUAGCGGUGAAAU
rnacentral:rRNA from 1 species